AUAACGGUCCUAAGGUAGCGAAAUUCCUUGUCAGGUAAGUUCUGACCCGCACGAAAGGCGUAAUGAUUUGGGCGCUGUCUCGACAAUGUACUCGGCGAAAUUGUAGUACUAGUGAAGAUGCUAGUUACCUGCGACAAGACAGAAAGACCCCAUGGAGCUUUACUGCAGUUUGAUACUGGGUUUUGAUAAUUUAUGUACAGGAUAGGUGGGAGACAAAGAAGAGUAGGCGUCAGCUUACUUGGAGUCGAUGUUGGGAUACCACCCUUAAGUUAUUGAAAUUCUAACUAGUGGUCAUGACCUGGCCAGAGGACAAUGUCAGACGGGCAGUUUGACUGGGGCGGUCGCCUCCAAAAGAGUAACGGAGGCGCCCAAAGGUUUCCUCAGCGCGGACAGAAAUCGCGCGAAAGAGUGUAAAGGCAGAAGGAAGCUUAACUGGAAGACAGACAUGUCGAGCAGAUACGAAAGUAGGGCUUAGUGAUCCGGUGGAAUUGAAUGGAAAAGCCAUCGCUCAACGGACAAAAGUUACCCUGGGGAUAACAGGCUUAUCUCCCCCAAGAGUUCACAUCGACGGGGAGGUUUGGCACCUCGAUGUCGGCUCAUCACAUCCUGGAGCGGAAGUACGUUCCAAGGGUUGGGCUGUUCGCCCAUUAAAGUGGUACGCGAGCUGGGUUCAGAACGUCGUGAGACAGUUCGGUCCUUAUCUGUCGCAGGCGCAGGAUAUUUGAAGGGAGCUGUCCUUAGUACGAGAGGACCAGGAUGGACAUACCGAUGGUGAAUCAGUUGUCAUACCAAUGGCACGGCUGAGUAGCUAAGUAUGGAAGGGAUAAACGCUGAAAGCAUCUAAGUGUGAAGCCCACCCUAAGAUAAGAUAUCUCAUACUGUUAAGGUAGUAAGAUUCCAUGUAGACUACGUGGUAGAUAGGUUGGAGGUGUAAGUACAGUAAUGUAUUAAGCUGACCAAUACUAAUAAAUCGAGGGCUUAACCAC
rnacentral:rRNA from 1 species